AUUUCUCUGAGAUGUUUGCAAGCGGGCCAGUCCCCUGAGCCGAUAUUUCAUACCACAAGAAUGUGGCGCUUCGCGGUUGGUGAGCAUGCUCGGUUCGUCCGAGAAGCCUUAAAACUGUGACGACACAUUCACCUUGAACCAAGGGUUCAAGGGUUACAGCCUGCGGCGGCAUCUCGGAGAUUCC
rnacentral:other from 1 species